CCUACGGGUGGCAGCAGUGGGGGAUAUUGCACAAUGGGGGGAACCCUGAUGCAGCGACGCCGCGUGGGUGAAGAAGCGCCUCGGCGCGUAAAGCUCUGUCAGCAGGGAAGAAAAUGACGGUACCUGAAGAAGAAGCCCCGGCUAACUACGUGCCAGCAGCCGCGGUACUACGUAGGGGGCAAGCGUUAUCCGGAUUUACUGGGUGUAAAGGGGGCGCAGACGGCGAUGCAAGCCAGGAGUGAAAGCCCGGGGCCCAACCCCGGGACUGCUCUUGGAACUGCGUGGCUGGAGUGCAGGAGGGGCAGGCGGAAUUCCUGGUGUAGCGGUGAAAUGCGUAGAUAUCAGGAGGAACACCGGUGGCGAAGGCAGCUUACCAGACUGUUACUGACGCUGAAGCACGAGAGCGUGGGUAGCGAACAGGAUUAGAUACCCUUGUAGUC
rnacentral:rRNA from 1 species